rnacentral:rRNA from 1 species
UACGUAGGGUGCAAGCGUUGUCCGGAAUUAUUGGGCGUAAAGAGCUCGUAGGUGGCCUGUCGCGUCGGCUGUGAAAACUCGGGGCUCAACUCCGAGCUUGCAGUCGAUACGGGCAGGCUAGAGUUCGGCAGGGGGAGACUGGAAUUCCUGGUGUAGCGGUGGAAUGCGCAGAUAUCAGGAGGAACACCAAUGGCGAAGGCAGAUCUCUGGGCCGUAACUGACGCUGAGGAGCGAAAGCAUGGGGGAGCGAACAGG